rnacentral:misc_RNA from 1 species
CUUGCUGGGUUCGAGAGUAAUGGCGGAGUUGUUUGACAAGGAAGAUCGGAGGUGGUUGUCACCUGUUUAGCGUCUGGAGUUAUUUCCCAAGCAGUACGCUCUGGAAUACACGGAUAACUUUUGGUAGAUAUACAGGCCUGUACAGGAGAGUCUGACGCUGACAGGUCGAUCGAUGGCCGUUCUGACAUGAUGGGGAAGAAUAUCAGUGCUCACUUCACCAAGGCUGAUAACCACCUCCGUAAAGACAAUCAACUUACAUGCUCAACUCCACCAUGUGACCUUGUCUGCCAGUGAUUCCAGCCUCAGCUCUGUGAACACCCCACUAUGUAAAGUUGUGUGGAAAGUACCUUUUACACUGAAGCAAUUGUUAUCAAAUGGCACCCAAUCAUUGUGUUUUAAUGUUUCUGUCUCCUUGAACACUUGUUAGGAAAUCACUAGUUUGUAUUACUGUGAAUCCGUUAAAAUGAUUUCUUCAGCAUUAUGUGAUUAAAUAUGGCCACUACAAGCACUGUCACAACGUCAGAUAGGAAAGACGUUUUGGAGGCGAGUCGUACGAGAAGUGGGAGUUUGAAACGUGAAAAUAUUGAAAAUCAGCCGCCGGAAGAUUUGUCAAAUCUUGAAUUUGAGGAAGGUGGUCUCCAGUCACGUGGAUUCCGUUCCAAGGUCAGCAAGAUGAAGGAAAUGUUUCAGGCUAGUAUGUCAGGAGACAAAUCAUCGUAUUCAAAACCUGAGAUCAAACUGACGAAACCUCUCAGUGCUCCGUCGUCCACAACCAACUCUUGGCAGCGGGACACCAAACCAGGGCCUAGUGGCGAUUUGGAUAAAUCACCCGAGAUCAAACGAAAGCGAGUGUCAGAUGUUGUAUCGCCCACCUCAAAAUCUACAGAAGUAUCACCUUCAGAUAACCUCCUCGAAGCAGCCAAUCAUGUACAGCGAUUUAACUACACAAGAAAUAUGUUUGCUCGUAUGGAGCAAGAAAAUAAAAUUGCACAAGAACGUGAACGUAAUAUUCGGAUACGGCGACCAUCACCGAAUCGACUCGGACGUUCUCAUACACCACCUGCUCUGUCACCUGUCAGUACGUCGCCAUCAAGCCCAGAACGACACAAAACCAUGAGCCCAGAGCGUCACAAACCUCUAAGCCCAGAACCGAGAAAGUCAUUCGAUUAUGACCCACUAUGUCAAACUUCAUCAUCAUCAUCAAGUACCACUGAACUUGAUUCAAAGAUUCUUAACUUGGACAGUAUAAGCAAACAAAAGUUGUGUGGUUCUUUAGAAAUGUUAAAAGGUGAUUCCCUCAGAGACAGUGAUAGCUUAUCAUCAAUACAUGCAAGUUCUAAUUCAGGCCCUAGUUUUCAAUCGGACAUCACAGAUGCACAAGUGUCUUCCACAGUGUCACAGUCGUAUCAUAAACCUCCACCAUCGUAUUCAUCGUCAACGCGCGGUGCUUUAUGGCUCAAAAGAUAUGAAACCAGGGACAAUACAAACAUUCCAGACAGAGACCGAACAUCUCAGCUCAAUGGAGAGAAUGACAAGAAGAAAGGCUGGCUAGAAGAAAGAGAGGAACGUAAAGAUCGCUCCAACAGCGAUCCUGAAAGAUCAAGUGUUUCAGGUUGGACUCGACCAAGUCGUUCCCAAUUCAGAUCUAAACCAGGCAGUGAUGCUUCUGAUCAUGCUGUAAAGUUAGGCCACAAGGCUGAAUCAUCGCAACAGGACUCAAGUCUUUCAAACUCACAUUCCAGUGCUUAUGAAGAAAAUGACUCUGAAACUUCAGUGGUCAUGUUGAGGGCAAAGAAAGAAGAGACGACGUCGAAAAGUAAUCGGCUAAGUAAAGAAGAUAUUCAGAAAGCCAUAGAAAAGGCUGACACUUAUCUCCAAAACCGCGAUGAUGAACCCAAGGGCAAAAGGAGAUCAUGGGAUCUCAAUCAAAAACGUGAUGAAUUUUCACGUGGGAAGAGGCAAUCAUGGGAUUUUGAUAAACAGCAAGAAGAUGUACGUGAGGUUCGAGUCCGUUCAUCGUCUUUAAACGAGGACUCCAGUAAUGACCGGACUUCAUCGCUAAAUGAAACUACAGGUGAUGGUAGCUCUAGUUCUGUGCCUGAAGCUGUUGUGAGUAAUGCAUUUGUCCAUCUGUCCAACUCAGGAUCUUCUCUCAAUGACAGUGAGCCUGACCUCACCAGAUCAUCCUCAUCAAUGUCUUCAUCAUCUCGGCCAACCCCUAUCCCAAGACGAUCAGCUCCUCCACCCCCAGACAAACCCCCAAAUGCCACCCUGAACUCAAGGAGGCCCAAUAUUCCACCUCCACCAGCACCGAAACCGAAAUCACCAGAGGAUUUUAUGGCAGAGAAAACGGAGAUUGUUAUCCAGUCAACUACCUCUUCUGUAUCUUCAUCAGUUGAGCAGCAUCUGCCGACCCCGGACUGGGACCCACGGAGUGAAAGUACAGAUGAUCCUGAUGAGGCUUCUGGAGAAGUUGAGUUCAUUUCCCCAGAAGAUCACGUCUAUGCCAACGUAAAUUCUGAGCACAAUAUACUGGAAGAUGCAGACAGCCUGCUGCUGAAGAGGGAACAGGGGGAUGGACACGAGGACCCUGACAGUAAUGUCAUCGAUGUCGGUUCAGAAGGUGAGGCCUACACCGAUGAAGCGGAGCAGGAGGUUGUGUACGUCGAGAUGCCCGGCCUGUCUAGCACAGACGAAGACAGCAGCGAGGAUGAAGUUGAUUUCAAGAUGGCCUCCAAAAUUAAAUUCAGCCGGGAUCCCAUCAGGGUGUUCUUCACAUACUCCACGGACGACUAUGACCGCCGCAAUGAAGACGUCGACCCAGUGGCGGCGUCAGCGGGAGUAUGAGCUGGAGAAGAGGGUGGAGAAGAUGGAUGUCUUCCCAGUAGAACUUCAGAAAGGUUCUGAGGGACUGGGUCUCAGUAUUAUCGGUAUGGGCGUCGGCGCUGAUGCUGGCCUGGAGAAACUUGGCAUCUUCAUUAAGACCCUGACUGAAGGCGGCGCCGCUCAGAAAGACUCCAG